UAGGUAUCACACCGGUAAUUGACCAAUCAAAAUGAACUUAGUCAAAUGUAGGUCCAUAUAUAUAGAAUUAAUUUUCUUUUCUUUUGAGGCGUUUUUCUAUUUUCUUCCAUGCCACUUUUACAACUUUGGUACCUGUGCCUAGUAAAUUUUAUGUACUUUGUGAAUAAAUAAAGGUUUUGGACAGGAACUAUUUUUUUCAUGGCAUAGGAGGCUACUUCCUGUAGUGCACUCGAGGUGUUUAUAAACACAGUGAAAACACGUGGAUUUGAGGGUAGCCCUGUUUGCAGAUGGAAAAAGUCCGAAAAUGCCGUGUGGGUACCCUGUUUUUUGGUGUCAGCUAAUGUGGCAGGUAAUGUUUAACACCUUCUGCUAAAUAUUUUUUCAUGUAAACAAAUACCUGAUUUUUAACGAUUUUUUAUUCUAUAUAGAAUUAUAUAGUGAAAACAAUUACCGGUGUGAUACCUUGAAGGUGAUUGUGAAAAAUCAUUUUAAUCCUUAUUAAAGACAUUUUUCAUUUUUAAAAGGCAUAUUUCAACAAAAUAUGUGAUUUUAUUAACUUUUUGUUGGAAAACACACAAUUUUAAAAUUAGAAUUAGAAUUUACAUUAUUUUUCACAGAUUUCUGUUUAAAAAUUAACAAUAGGUUAUAUUUUACACUCAAUACUUUAAAAUAUGACUAAAAAGGUAGCAUUAUGCAUCUAAAAUGUGGAAAGAAGUCAGAGAAUAUUGUUUUUUCAUUUUAUAUGACUUAACAUUAUUUGCACCAGCUGACCGCAGUCAAUUAUAGUGUCUACAGACUUUGCGGUAAAGGGUGUUAAAGCUGAUUUUUCAAGAAUAGACUAAUUCUAGGUUUGCGAAUGAAUUUUUAGCAUAAGCGACAACUGCGAUAAAAUGUAAACAAGUAAAAAUGUUUUCACAGAAUGAUAAUUUCUACAGAAACAUGAUUUAUUUUAAUUUAUUCAGACCUCCAGUGAUACAUACAUUACUGCAUUGGAAGAACAGAAAUAAUGAAAUGAGUCAGAUCUGUCUAAUAAACUUAAUACAUAAGCUACAUUAGUAAAAUUCAUUAAGAAUUUAUCAAAGUAAGGAAGGUUAUGACCAAAAAAUCCUGAAAUACUGUCAAGGUCUGCAUGAUAAUACUUAUUCUGAGUUCUAACCAUGCAUCAUACAUGUAGUGCAGAAUGUCACUUAGCAGCAUGGCAUGCCUUUUGUGGUUCUAAGGACUUUAUUUAUGCUUUCGCAGCUGACAUUCAUGUUUUUUCAGUUUGUCGGAGACUGUUUUUUGUUAUUUUUUCAUUUAUAUGUAGGUGUUGACUGUCACUUUUGAAUUAACUCUCAGUCAGUGAUGCUUAUAUGAGCAUGAUCUACUAAGUAUAUCAUUGUACUGAAAUAUUAAUAAAUUCCAAAUUGAACUGAUGAAGAAAUUUGGCAUAUUUACAUAAUUGAAAUAUCAGAAUAACUAUAAUUCAGCUAAUAAGGUGCACAUUUCUUCUCAGAUCACUUCCUAUAAAUUUUAUCAACAGUUUUGGUACACCCACCCACCUCAAAGAAUCAUGGAGGAUGUCCUGAAUCUGGUCUCUGUGAUGCAUUUUGUCUCAUAGAAAAGUGUUCAAACUCAUUAAAAUGUUUAAUAUUUAUAUUUUAAAAUCUAAAUGUUCAUUUUUUUAUGUAAAUUUGUUGAAACAAAAAGAUAUAAUCUGGCAUAAAUCAUGGAAAUUCAUUAAACACCUUUGGAAUUCCUGAAUAAAUCCAUGAAAAGAGAAUAAUUAUGCAUGUUAAAUUGAAAUUUCAUGGCUAAUUUGUGUCUUAAGAGAAAGCCAGUUGCAUAAAUCACAACAAUAAAUUACAUCUGAAUUGUUGUCUCCAGGUUCUUAUCAUCAAAGCCAGUUUAAUGGAGUGUGGGAGCUGUGAAGAACCUCCCUAGAUGCUGAUAUCAUUUUGACUGCCCUGAGUUACAACACAGCAUUUAGAUAAACUUCUGCACAGCAGCUUGUAGACACAUACCUGGGCUUUAUUUGGAACAUAAAUUGACCAGAUACAGUGUUCAUUAUCAACCCAGUAUUUAACAAUUUCUGUAUUUUUGUUCAUUCUUUGAAGGGGAAAAUGCAACUUUGUUAUGUAAUAAUUACAUAAUGGUCUUAGACUUGUAAACUCUUUUCUGUUUGUGGUGAAGAACAAAGCAUAUACUCUCCACGGAUAAAAAAUUGGUUGCCAAGCUUAUUCUUUUAAUGGUGAAAUUCUGCUUCAAAAGAUGCACAAAAAACUGCUUCCAGAGUGCUGUGUGUGUUGUUCUUGACUGCUCUGGAGUAAGGGAGAUAAAUGCUUCAUAUCUUCAGAAAUAAGGGGAUUUAGAUCACCAGACUUAGGGAUGUUGGGGACAAUUAUUUCAUGAAUCUCAGGUGCAAAAAUGGAAAAAAUCGAACACCUUCAAAGGUCCUUCAAGGUAUCACACCGGUAAUUGACCAAUCAAAAUGAACUUAGUCAAAUGUAGGUCCAUAUAUAUAGAAUUAAUUUUCUUUUCUUUUGAGGCGUUUUUCUAUUUUCUUCCAUGCCACUUUUACAACUUUGGUACCUGUGCCUAGUAAAUUUUAUGUACUUUGUGAAUAAAUAAAGGUUUUGGACAGGAACUAUUUUUUUCAUGGCAUAGGAGGCUACUUCCUGUAGUGCACUCGAGGUGUUUAUAAACACAGUGAAAACACGUGGAUUUGAGGGUAGCCCUGUUUGCAGAUGGAAAAAGUCCGAAAAUGCCGUGUGGGUACCCUGUUUUUUGGUGUCAGCUAAUGUGGCAGGUUCUUAUCAUCAAAGCCAGUUUAAUGGAGUGUGGGAGCUGUGAAGAACCUCCCUAGAUGCUGAUAUCAUUUUGACUGCCCUGAGUUACAACACAGCAUUUAGAUAAACUUCUGCACAGCAGCUUGUAGACACAUACCUGGGCUUUAUUUGGAACAUAAAUUGACCAGAUACAGUGUUCAUUAUCAACCCAGUAUUUAACAAUUUCUGUAUUUUUGUUCAUUCUUUGAAGGGGAAAAUGCAACUUUGUUAUGUAAUAAUUACAUAAUGGUCUUAGACUUGUAAACUCUUUUCUGUUUGUGGUGAAGAACAAAGCAUAUACUCUCCACGGAUAAAAAAUUGGUUGCCAAGCUUAUUCUUUUAAUGGUGAAAUUCUGCUUCAAAAGAUGCACAAAAAACUGCUUCCAGAGUGCUGUGUGUGUUGUUCUUGACUGCUCUGGAGUAAGGGAGAUAAAUGCUUCAUAUCUUCAGAAAUAAGGGGAUUUAGAUCACCAGACUUAGGGAUGUUGGGGACAAUUAUUUCAUGAAUCUCAGGUGCAAAAAUGGAAAAAAUCGAACACCUUCAAAGGUCCUUCAAGGUAUCACACCGGUAAUUGACCAAUCAAAAUGAACUUAGUCAAAUGUAGGUCCAUAUAUAUAGAAUUAAUUUUCUUUUCUUUUGAGGCGUUUUUCUAUUUUCUUCCAUGCCACUUUUACAACUUUGGUACCUGUGCCUAGUAAAUUUUAUGUACUUUGUGAAUAAAUAAAGGUUUUGGACAGGAACUAUUUUUUUCAUGGCAUAGGAGGCUACUUCCUGUAGUGCACUCGAGGUGUUUAUAAACACAGUGAAAACACGUGGAUUUGAGGGUAGCCCUGUUUGCAGAUGGAAAAAGUCCGAAAAUGCCGUGUGGGUACCCUGUUUUUUGGUGUCAGCUAAUGUGGCAGGUUCUUAUCAUCAAAGCCAGUUUAAUGGAGUGUGGGAGCUGUGAAGAACCUCCCUAGAUGCUGAUAUCAUUUUGACUGCCCUGAGUUACAACACAGCAUUUAGAUAAACUUCUGCACAGCAGCUUGUAGACACAUACCUGGGCUUUAUUUGGAACAUAAAUUGACCAGAUACAGUGUUCAUUAUCAACCCAGUAUUUAACAAUUUCUGUAUUUUUGUUCAUUCUUUGAAGGGGAAAAUGCAACUUUGUUAUGUAAUAAUUACAUAAUGGUCUUAGACUUGUAAACUCUUUUCUGUUUGUGGUGAAGAACAAAGCAUAUACUCUCCACGGAUAAAAAAUUGGUUGCCAAGCUUAUUCUUUUAAUGGUGAAAUUCUGCUUCAAAAGAUGCACAAAAAACUG